AGUGAACGCUGGCGGUAGGCCUAACACAUGCAAGUCGAACGGCAGCACAGUAAGAGCUUGCUCUUACGGGUGGCGAGUGGCGGACGGGUGAGGAAUACAUCGGAAUCUACUUUUUCGUGGGGGAUAACGUAGGGAAACUUACGCUAAUACCGCAUACGACCUACGGGUGAAAGCAGGGGAUCUUCGGACCUUGCGCGAUUGAAUGAGCCGAUGUCGGAUUAGCUAGUUGGCGGGGUAAAGGCCCACCAAGGCGAAGAUUCUUAGCUUGUCUGAGAGGAUGAACCAGCACAAUGGGAAUGAGACACGGUCCCAGCUUCCAACGGGAGGCAGAGGGGGGGAAAAUUGACCAUGGGGCGAAAGCUGGAUCAGGCCAUCCGGCGGGGUUAAAAAAGGCUUUCGGGUGGAAAACCCUUUUUGUUGGGAAAAAAAAGAGGCAGGUUAAUACCCCGCUGUUCGGAGGGUACCAAAAGAAUAAGAACCGGCUAAUUUCGU
rnacentral:rRNA from 1 species